GGGAGGGAGAAACAAAGCCUCUCUCUCUGUCUGUGUGAUGCUUUUGCUGGGGACAGAACAGGAUUGGAGUCUUAGAAUUCAGCUUCCACACACCAUCAGUUCCUUGUUAGCGUGCCAUGCACCGUGAGAUAUCUCUUCUCUUUGUGUGUGACUGUGAGUGUUUCCCUUGUGUGUGAAUUUAUUCAAUACAAUCUUGAGCUUCAUAAUGGAUACCAUGAGUGAAAAGAAAAAGGGAAAAAUAGAAUCAGAGCACAGAGUUUUCAACAAUGAAUGGACGAAUAAAUACUUAUGUACAGUUUCCAAAGACAAAUACUGUGCCUUGUGUGUCGCGAAACACUAGCCGUUCCGAAAGAAUACAACCUUCGGUGGCACUUUGAAACUAAACAUCCCAAUCUCACCAAAUUGAACCCAAAUGAAAAAAUAAUUAAAGCAGCCAGUUUAGCGAAAAACCUUAGUGGAGAACAGCAAAUUUUCAAGAAAGUGAGCACAGAGAGCGAUUCGGUUAGGAAAGUAAGCUUUCAUAUUUCUAAGGAAAUUGCUGGUGGUGGGAAAUACUUCACAGGAGGCGAGUUUUUAAAAAAGUGUAUGUUGAUUGCUGUAUCUGAGUUAUGUCCAGAAAAGAGGGGAAUAUUUGAGAAUGUCAGUCUAUCACGCAUGACUGUACAGAGAAGAAUAGCUGACUUUUCUACCAAUCUAAGCGAUCAGUUAAAGCAGAGAGUCAGUGAAUUCUGCUUUUACUCCCUAGCUGUGGAUGAAAGCACCGAUUUAAAAGACACAGCCCAACUUCUUAUUUUUAUUAGUGGUAUUGAUAAAAACUUUGUAAUUACUGAAGAACAUGUGCUCCAUGACAGGUGACACAACCGGAAAAGAAAUCUCCAGUGAAGUGAUAAAGUGCAUGAAUGAUAAGUCGGGAUUAGAUUUCACAAACUGGAUGGCCAUUUGUACUGAUGGUGCUGCAGCUAUGUUACUCUUCUUGAAGGAGCAGUUACUCUUCUUGAAGAAUUUAUUGGGAGACAAAUAACCAAACUUCACUGCAUUCUACAUCAGCAGGUUUUGCGUAGCAAAGUUUUAAAAUUUGAGCAUAUAAUGUCAGUGGUAGUUUCCAUUGUAAACUACAUACGUUCUAGAGGACUAAAACAUAGGACAUUUCGAGCCUUUCUUGAAGGCGUAGAUGCCAAGUGCAGCGACUUAAUCUACAACACGGAAGUGAGGUGGUUGAGUCAAGGAAGAGUGCGCCAGUGUUUCAUUGCUUUGAAAGAGGAGGUAGCAAAAUUCCUAGAAAAUGGGCCAAUAAAAUUCCCAGAGCUUGAAAAUGAGUCCUGGAAUCAAGAUCUUUUUGUUUUGUGAUAUUACUGCACACCUGAAUGAUCUCAACAUUCAACUUCAGGGGAAAAAUCAAUGUAUAUUUCAAAUGUGUGCAGCGGUGAAAGCUUUCAAAAUGGAAUUGAAACUUUUCAGAAGUCAGCUGUCAAAAGGCGAAAUGACAGGUUUCAGAGUAACAGCCGUGUUAGUCUGUAUUCGCAAAAAGAAAAGGAGUACUUGUGGCACCUUAGAGACUAACCAAUUUAUUUGAGCAUGAGCUUUUGUGAGCUACAGCUCACUUCAUCGGAUGCAUACCGUGGAAACUGCAGCAGACAUUUUCCCACUUGUGCAAAGCGUAUCCCUCAGCACAAACACGCCGAGUUAGAAGAAAAAUAUGCAAAGCACAUUAAUCUUUUGAUUGAAGAAUUUGAGAGAAGACUUACUUUGUCUAAAGAAGAAGACGUCCAGUUGAAGCUGAUUGAAUAUCCCUUUUCUGUGGAUCCAGAGGAAGUGCCACUAGAUUUGCAGUUGAAGGUUAUUGAACUUCAAUGUUCGGCAGUUUACCGAAAUAAGCACAGAGAAAGCAGCCUGUGGGACGUCUACAAAAGUCUGGACAAUGAAAAAUACAAGAAUCUUAUCGAAGUUGCACUGAAAACGUUCAGCAUUUUUGGAAACACUUACAUAUGUGAACAAACAUUUUCCAUCAUGAACAUGAAUAAAAACAAGCAACGUUCUUCUUUGAGUGAGGACCAUUUGGAAGACAUUAUGAAAAUAUCUACUUCAAAUAUGACCCCCGAAUAUGACAAGCUUGUUGCCGAAAAGAGAUGUAAUAUCUCUCAUUAAACUUGCAAGGUAAUUAUGAAAAGUACAAAUGUUUUCUUUCAAUGGAACAGGUGUUUUUCAUUUUUCCAUGAUUCAUAAAAAAAAAUAAAAUUAAAAAAAUUGUUUGCUUUAA